rnacentral:rRNA from 1 species
GACGAACGCUGGCGGCGUGCUUAACACAUGCAAGUCGAACGAAGAGCGAUGGAAGCUUGCUUCUAUCACUCUUAGUGGCGAACGGGUGAGUAACGCGUAAUCAACCUGCCCUUCAGAGGGGGACAACAGUUGGAAACGACUGCUAAUGCCGCAUACGAUCUGACCUCGGCAUCGAGGAUAGAUGAAAGGUGGCCUCUAUUUAUAAGCUAUCACUGAAGGAGGGGAUUGCGUCUGAUUAGCUAGUUGGAGGGGUAACGGCCCACCAAGGCGAUGAUCAGUAGCCGGUCUGAGAGGAUGAACGGCCACAUUGGGACUGAGACACGGCCCAGACGCCUACGGGAGGCAGCAGUGGGGAAUCUUCCGCAAUGGACGAAAGUCUGACGGAGCAACGCCGCGUGAGUGAUGACGGCCUUCGGGUUGUAAAGCUCUGUUAAUCGGGACGAAAGGCCUUCUUGCGAAUAGUUAGAAGGAUUGACGGUACCGGAAUAGAAAGCCACGGCUAACUACGUG